rnacentral:tRNA from 2 species
AAGAUACUAGUAUAGAAGUCAGUACAUUGCUUUGUCAGGGCAAAAUCGUGAGUUAAACCCUCACGUAUCUUA